rnacentral:misc_RNA from 1 species
UCGUAACAAGGUUUCCGUAGGUGAACCUGCGGAAGGAUCAUUACCGAGUGUUUGGAUGCCCCUUCUCGGGGUGUCCGUCCUCCCAUCCGUGUCUAUUUGUACCCUGUUGCUUCGGCGGGCCCGCCCUUCGUGGCCGCCGGGGGGCUUCCCUGCCCCCGGGCCCGUGCCCGCCGGAGACCUCAACCAUGAACACUGUCUGAAGGUUGCAGUCUGAGUACCGAUAUAAAAAAUCGUUAAAACUUUCAACAACGGAUCUCUUGGUUCCGGCAUCGAUGAAGAACGCAGCGAAAUGCGAUACGUAAUGUGAAUUGCAGAAUUCAGUGAAUCAUCGAGUCUUUGAACGCACAUUGCGCCCCCUGGUAUUCCGGGGGGCAUGCCUGUCCGAGCGUCAUUGCUGCCCUCAAGCACGGCUUGUGUGUUGGGCCCCCGUCCCCCUCCCAGGAAGGGGACGGGCCCGAAAGGCAGCGGCGGCACCGUGUCCGGUCCUCGAGCGUAUGGGAAGCAACUUUUUGUCACCCGCUCCUGUAGGUCCGGCCGGCGGCCUGCCCAACCCCAACCUUUUUUUAACCAGGUUGACCUCGGAUCAGGUAGGGAUACCCGCUGAACUUAAGCAUAUCA